GAUGAACGCUGGCGGCGUGCCUAAUACAUGCAAGUCGAGCGAACAGACGAGGAGCUUGCUCCUCUGACGUUAGCGGCGGACGGGUGAGUAACACGUGGAUAACCUACCUAUAAGACUGGGAUAACUUCGGGAAACCGGAGCUAAUACCGGAUAAUAUAUUGAACCGCAUGGUUCAAUAGUGAAAGACGGCUUUGCUGUCACUUAUAGAUGGAUCCGCGCUGCAUUAGCUAGUUGGUAAGGUAACGGCUUACCAAGGCUACGAUGCGUAGCCGACCUGAGAGGGUGAUCGGCCACACGGGAGCUGAGACACGGUCCAGGCGCCUACGGGAGGCAGCAGUAGGGAAUCGUCGGCAAUGGGCGAGAGCUUUGCAGAGCAACGCCGCGUGAGAGAUGAAGAUCUUCGGAUCGUGAAGCUCUGUUAUUGGGUAAGAACAGAUGUGUAAUUAGCUAAACACGUCUUGACGGUACCUAGUCAAGAAGCCACGGCUAACUACGUG
rnacentral:rRNA from 1 species